CCUACGGGGGGCUGCAGUGGGGAAUAUUGGACAAUGGGGGGAACCCUGAUCCAGCCAUGCCGCGUGUGUGAAGAAGGCCCUCGGGUUGUAAAGCACUUUCAGUGAGGAAGAACGCCUGGUGGUUAAUACCCAUCAGGAAAGACAUCACUCACAGAAGAAGCACCGGCUAACUCCGUGCCAGCAGCCGCGGUAAUACGGAGGGUGCGAGCGUUAAUCGGAAUUACUGGGCGUAAAGCGCGCGUAGGUGGCUUGAUAAGCCGGUUGUGAAAGCCCCGGGCUCAACCUGGGAACGGCAUCCGGAACUGUCAAGCUAGAGUGCAGGAGAGGAAGGUAGAAUUCCCGGUGUAGCGGUGAAAUGCGUAGAGAUCGGGAGGAAGACCAGUGGCGAAGGCGGCCUUCUGGACUGACACUGACACUGAGGUGCGAAAGCGUGGGUAGCAAACAGGAUUAGAUACCCUUGUAGUG
rnacentral:rRNA from 1 species